GACGAACGCUGGCGGCGUGCUUAACACAUGCAAGUCGAACGGAAAGGCCCUGCUUUUGUGGGGUGCUCGAGUGGCGAACGGGUGAGUAACACGUGAGUAACCUGCCCUUGACUUUGGGAUAACUUCAGGAAACUGGGGCUAAUACCGGAUAGGAGCUCCUGCUGCAUGGUGGGGGUUGGAAAGUUUCGGCGGUUGGGGAUGGACUCGCGGCUUAUCAGCUUGUUGGUGGGGUAGUGGCUUACCAAGGCUUUGACGGGUAGCCGGCCUGAGAGGGUGACCGGCCACAAUGGGACUGAGAUACGGCCCAGACUCCUACGGGAGGCAGCAGUGGGGAAUAUUGCAGAAUGGGCGGAAGCCUGAGGCAGCAACGCCGCGUGCGUGAUGACGGCCUUCGGGUUGUAAACCGCUUUCGCCUGUGACGAAGCGUGAGUGACGGUAAUGGGUAAAGAAGCACCGGCUAACUACGUG
rnacentral:rRNA from 1 species